CCUACGGGUGGCAGCAGUCGAGAAUCAUUCACAAUGGGGGAAACCCUGAUGGUGCGACGCCGCGUGGGGGAAUGAAGGUCUUCGGAUUGUAAACCCCUGUCAUGUGGGAGCAAAUUAAAAAGAUAGUACCACAAGAGGAAGAGACGGCUAACUCUGUGCCAGCAGCCGCGGUAAUACAGAGGUCUCAAGCGUUGUUCGGAAUCACUGGGCGUAAAGCGUGCGUAGGCUGUUUCGUAAGUCGUGUGUGAAAGGCGCGGGCUCAACCCGCGGACGGCACAUGAUACUGCGAGACUAGAGUAAGGGAGGGGGAACCGGAAUGCUCGGUGUAGCAGUGAAAUGCGUAGAUAUCAAGAGGAACACUCGUGGCGAAGGCGGGUUCCUGGACAUUAACUGACGCUGAGGCACGAAGGCCAGGGGAGCGAAAGGGAUUAGAUACCCCAGUAGUC
rnacentral:rRNA from 1 species